CAUGCGAGUCAUUGUAGCAAUACAAGGCAUACGGCUCAGUAACGCGUAGUCAACCUACCCUAUGGACGGAAAUAACCUCGGGAAACUGAGAAUAAUAUCCGACAGAACAUUAUGCCUGGAAUGGUUUAUGUUCCAAAUGAUUUAUCGCCGUAGGAUGGGACUGCGGCCUAUCAGUUUGUUGGUGAGGUAAUGGCCCACCAAGACUAUUACAGGUACGGGCUCUGAGAGGAGUAGCCCGGAGAUGGGUACUGAGACACGGACCCAGGCCCUAUGGGGCGCAGCAGGCGAGAAAACUUUGCAAUGUGCGAAAGCACGACAAGGUUAAUCCGAGUGAUUUCUGCUAAAGAAAUCUUUUGUUAGUCCUAGAAACACUAACGAAUAAGGGGUGGGCAAGUUCUGGUGUCAGCCGCCGCGGUAAAACCAGCACCUCAAGUGGUCAGGAUGAUUAUUGGGCCUAAAGCAUCCGUAGCCGGCUCUGUAAGUCCUCGGUUAAAUCUGUACGCUUAACGUACAGGCUGCCGGGAAUACUGCAUAGCUAGGGAGUGGGAGAGGUAGACGGUACUCGGUAGGAAGGGGUAAAAUCCUUUGAUCUAUUGAUGACCACCUGUGGCGAAGGCGGUCUACCAGAACACGUCCGACGGUGAGGGAUGAAAGCUGGGGGAGCAAACCGGAUUAGAUACCCGGGUAGUCCCAGCUGUAAACUAUGCAAACUCAGUGAUGCAUUGGCUCGUGGCCAAUGCAGUGCUGCAGGGAAGCCGUUAAGUUUGCCGCCUGGGAAGUACGUACGCAAGUAUGAAACUUAAAGGAAUUGGCGGGGGAGCACCACAAGGGGUGAAGCCUGCGGUUCAAUUGGACUCAACGCCGGAAA
rnacentral:rRNA from 1 species